UCUAAGCAUUCAGCUUUAAUCACAAACAUGCUACACGCAUGGCAUACACGGAUACACCAAAUCCCAAUAUAUUACUGGUUCUUCUUCAACGAAACUUGUGACUUUUAUGGAUGUUAAUUAAAGUAGCCAAAGGCUAAUGAAAAUAACUCCGGGAGUGGGUGUCAAAACAGAGUCUUUUAAUUAACAGAAGUGUCAAGUUGAGAGGUACUGAGAUGCCAGGUUUGAUUUUUCCCACUGUUCUACGUCAGUCAUCUACUGAUCAAUCGCAAUGCAUCCUAAAUUGAGCAUGGCGUCUGCUCAUCUGAGCUCACGAGUAUCACUUUAUUCUCUUUAAUUCCCUGUGACACUGUUCACUCUGUACCUUUCCUAAAAGCUUUAGAAACAAACUUUACAUUUGCCAAUAUACACGCUCACACGCUGUGGGCUUUUAGUUGAAUUGCUUAAAACCUAAAGAUAAUUCAAAGCACAUUAUCCAGAUUGAAAAUAAAUCUCGCAUCUUAUCCAUACUGAAAUUAAAUCUUUUAGUACGUAA